AGCCAUUUUUCGUAUCACAUUACAGUCGUUUGGAUCUGAAGUCAAGUGGGAUUUGAACCAUUAAGGCCCAUACGCCCCUUAUAUGUUACACGAAAAUUUUACUUCAUACCCCUACAUUUAGCCUCAAACCCCAAUAAUUUUUUAAAAACACCAAUUUUAUACUUAACUGUUUUUAGUCAAUUUAUCAUUUCAUUUUUACCAUUCAGUUGAUACUUUCGGAAAUUACACAUUCCACCCUCGCACCGGAACUCCUGGAAAAAGACUUUGGUAUGUAUUUUUUUCAAAUUGGAAGACUAAACGAAAGACAUCUGGAACACUGCAAUUAGUAAACCGGAAGACUUCAACAAAGAGUUAUGGUUCUUUAAUAAAAAAGAAACGUUCCGGAACACUUAUUGAAAGAGUUCUGGUAAACAAAGUGACAUAUACCGAAACUCUUUGUUGAAGUCUUCCGGUAUUGUUUUUAUGUAUUCCGGAACUCUUCUUUGAAGACUUCCGCUUUGCAAUUUUUCUUUUUUGACUUUUUUUGGGGAUUUUUUUUGAAUUUUUUUUAUUGUGCAAGAAUGAAAAAUCUUCCCCAAAUAUGUGUAGAUACUUCUGAUGCAUUUUUUAACGACUGAAAAAUUUGGUACACGAGAAGAGGUGAUAAGAUGGAUUAAAAAGGUUGGAAUCGAUAAUAGAGUAACUGUUAUUAUCACUUGUUCAGAUACUGAAACAGGCAAGAGAGGGAGAAGUAACAAAUUAAUAUUUGGUUGUGAUAAAGGUGGGAAACACAAGAAUAUUGAUAGUGAAACCCAAAGUGCGUCCAAGAAAUGUGGAUGCCCAUUUAAAAUCAGGUCGAAUCCGGUGAAAGAUGGGUCUGGUUGGAAGAUUGAUAUAAAAUAUGGGUUACAUAAUCAUGGUUUACCUAAUAGAUUAGAAUGUCAUUCCUUUAUUGGUAGAUUGACCACAGAUGAGAAGCAAUAUGUCGCUGAUUGGACAAAGAGAUAUGUACCACCUAGACACAUAUUGUUUUCCUUGCAAGACCGAGAUCCUGAUAAUGUCACUCAAAUUACGCAAGUAUACAAGCAUAAAAGUGUGAUACAAAAAGAGAUAAAAGGUCCUAGAAGUGAGAUACAACAUUUUUUAAGCUUAUUGAGGAUGCAGUCUAUGCGUAUUGGAGUAUAAAAAAAGAUGACUCGAAAGUUGUGAGAGAUAUAUUUUGGGUCCAUCCUGAGUCAGUUAAGUUGUUGAAUAUUUUUUCUAUUGUGUUAGUUAUGGAUAGCACCUACAAGACAAACAAAUAUAGACAACCUUUAUUUGAAAUUGUUGGCAUGACAUCAACCGAGUUGAUUUUUGCUGUUGCAUUUGCGUAUAUGGAGUCUGAGCAGACAGAGAAUUUUUGCUGGGUAUUGGAGAAACUAAAAGAAUUGUUUGUGAAGAAAGAUUUGUGUCCACAAGUGAUUUUGACAAAUAGAGAUCUUGCUUUGAUGAAAGCAAUUGAAAUUGUGUUUCCCAGGUCGAUUAAUUUGCUAUGUAGAUUUUACAUUAACAAAAAUGUUGGUACAAAAUGCAAACAACAUGUGGUGAAUAACCUGCAAAAGACGAUAGACACGUUAUGGAUGAAAGUUGUUUGGGCUAGUGAUGAGGUUGAGUAUGGUCAACGGUUGCAUCAACUUGAGCAAGCAUGUGUUGAUUAUAGUGGAUUUAUUAAUUAUGUGAAAGACACAUGGUUGACUCCACAUAGACAUAGAUUUGUUGGAGCAUGAAUUAAUCGAGUGCUACAUUUGGGUAACACAACGACUAAUCGGUUGAAUCUGCUCAUUGGAAGUUAAAGCAGAUGUUAGGAAACAAUAUAUGUGACAUGGUCAAAUGUUGGGAAGCUAUGAAUAACAACUUGAGGUUAACAUGAAAUAGGGGUUUCCGUUGCCACCGGUCACAUUAGAUUGGAAGAAGUUUCGUUGUCAGACAGCAACGUCUUGGAUGUUAGGAUUUGCAGGACGUCUACAACAUUGGCAAUUACUUACGCCUAUAUUAGCAUGAAUAUGUACUCAAAAACAUGAAUAUGUAAUCAAAACAUGAAUAUUAUAUUAUGUCUAUUAUAUUCAAUUCUAAAACUUAAUACAUAAAUCAAU